CUCAUGUGGGACUGGGAAAGUCGAGACCAGCUUUGAGAAUAGCCCCAAACACCGUUGAGCAUAAAGUCAUGUCAUAUUUGUCUUCUGAGAUGGUCUAGAGAUUUCUGAAUGAGAGAUGGAGUCAGCCACUUCGAUGAUGGCAGCUGUUUAUUUUGCCCAGUGGAUGGUCCCAACUUAUUACUGAUUUAAAGAUACCCUUAUAUGGACAGCCCUCCAGACAUUGUACGUUUCUAAUUUUGAUCUCACCUCUGGCCUUUGUGUUUUAGCUGCUGCCUUCUCUUGGCUAUUUUUAAUACUUUUUUCUCAGUGUGUCUCAGAAUUGUCCAACACAUUCUAAAGAAUCAUAAUUUAAAUUUGACUGAUUCGUCCUUUUCUUCAGUGGCCAGGAUUAGUUAAAUUUUGAAAGAGAUUACUUUUCGUAAAUAAUCUCAGAGAGACUCUUUUGGAUAUUGUGCAGGGGGAUGUUUGAGGUUUUAUCCUAAUUAUUUUACUCA
rnacentral:lncRNA from 1 species